GCCGAGGUAGCUCAGCUGGUAGAGCAUUCGCCUGAAGAGCGAUGGGUCGUCAGUUCAAUUCUGACCCUCGGCA
rnacentral:tRNA from 1 species